rnacentral:rRNA from 1 species
AUGUCACAUUCCGUAAAAAUUUACGAUACAUGUAUAGGAUGCACUCAAUGUGUACGAGCUUGUCCAACAGAUGUAUUAGAAAUGAUACCCUGGGAUGGAUGUAAAGCCAAGAAAAUUGCUUCCGCGCCCAGAAUCGAAGAAUAG